rnacentral:rRNA from 1 species
UACGGAAGGGGCAAGCGUUGUUCGGAAUCAUUGGGCGUAAAGGGCGCGUAGGUGGUUCUGUAUGUCUACCGUGAAAGCAUACAGCUCAACUGUAUUUUGUCGGUAGAAACUGCAGGACUUGAGGCUGGGAGGGGCUGGUGGAAUUCCCUGUGUAGCGGUGAAAUGCGUAGAUAUCAGGAGGAACACCGGUGGCGAAGGCGGGUCUCUGGGCCGAUACUGACGCUGAGGAGCGAAAGCGUGGGGAGCAAACAGG